CCUUUCCUGUGCCCCUACUAUCCCAAGGCUGAUGUCUGCCACUGAUAAAGCCUGAUCCACAGUAAUUACACAGGCCAGCUUCUUGAGGGGUAGCAUGUCCUCUGACAACACCAGCCUCUGGCCACACCACCAGAGAGUCCUUGUCACCCA